GAUGAACGCUGGCGGCAGGCCUAACACAUGCAAGUCGAGCGGAUGACGGGAGCUUGCUCCUUGAUUCAGCGGCGGACGGGUGAGUAAUGCCUAGGAAUCUGCCUGGUAGUGGGGGACAACGUUUCGAAAGGAACGCUAAUACCGCAUACGUCCUACGGGAGAAAGCAGGGGACCUUCGGGCCUUGCGCUAUCAGAUGAGCCUAGGUCGGAUUGGCUAGUUGGUGAGGUAAUGGCUCACCAAGGCGACGAUCCGUAACUGGUCUGAGAGGAUGAACAGCCACACUGGAACUGGGACACGGUCCAGACCCCUACGGAAGGCAGCAGUGGGGAAUAUUGGACAAUGGGCGAAAGCCUGAUCCAGCCAUGCCGCGUGUGUGAAGAAGGUCUUCGGAUUGUAAAGCACUUUAAGUUGGGAGGAAGGGCAGUAAGUUAAUACCUUGCUGUUUUGACGUUACCGACAGAAUAAGCACCGGCUAACUCUGUGCCAGCCGCCGCCGUAAGAC
rnacentral:rRNA from 1 species